AUUGAACGCUGGCGGCAGGCCUAACACAUGCAAGUCGAACGGUAACAGGAAGAAGCUUGCUUCUUUGCUGACGAGUGGCGGACGGGUGAGUAAUGUCUGGGAAACUGCCUGAUGGAGGGGGAUAACUACUGGAAACGGUAGCUAAUACCGCAUAACGUCGCAAGACCAAAGAGGGGGACCUUCGGGCCUCUUGCCAUCGGAUGUGCCCAGAUGGGAUUGCUAGUAGGUGGGGUAACGGCUCACCUAGGCGACGAUCCCUAGCUGGUCUGAGAGGAUGACCAGCCACACUGGAACUGAGACACGGUCCAGACUCCUACGGGAGGCAGCAGUGGGGAAUAUUGCACAAUGGGCGCAAGCCUGAUGCAGCCAUGCCGCGUGUAUGAAGAAGGCCUUCGGGUUGUAAAGUACUUUCAGCGGGGAGGAAGGGAGUAAAGUUAAUACCUUUGCUCAUUGACGUUACCCGCAGAAGAAGCACCGGCUAACUCCGUG
rnacentral:rRNA from 1 species